rnacentral:rRNA from 1 species
GAUGAACGCUGGCGGCAUGCCUAAGACAUGCAAGUCGAACGAAGUAGUCCAAUGAAGAUGGAGUGCUUGCACAAAAUUGGAAUUGGGUUGCUACUUAGUGGCAGACGGGUGAGUAACACGUGGGUAACCUACCUUAGAGACUGGGAUAACGGUUAGAAAUGAUCGCUAAUACCGGAUGAUACGUAAUUAGAUAACUAGAUACGUUAAAAGGAGCAUUUGCUUCACUUUAAGAUGGGCUUGCGUUGUAUUAGCUAGUUGGUGGGGUAAUGGCCUACCAAGGCAACGAUGCAUAUCCGAGCUGAGAGGCUGAUCGGACACACUGGGACUGAGACACGGCCCAG